rnacentral:rRNA from 1 species
CAGAAGGAACGAAACUGACGGUACUUUCAGAAGAAGGUGCGGCCAACUACGUGCCAGCAGCCGCGGUGACACGUAGGCACCAAGCGUUGUCCGGAUUUAUUGGGCGUAAAGAGCUCGUAGGCGGUUCAGUAAGUCGGGUGUGAAAACUUUGGGCUUAACCCAAAGCGUGCAUCCGAUACUGCUGUGACUUGAGUACGGUAGGGGAGCGGGGAAUUCCUAGUGUAGCGGUGAAAUGCGCAGAUAUUAGGAGGAACACCGGUGGCGAAAGCGCCGCUCUGGGCCGAAACUGACGCUGAGGAGCGAAAGCAUGGGUAGCAAACAGGAUUAGAUACCCUGGUAGUCCAUGCCGUAAACGUUGGGCACUAGGUGUGGGUUCCGACCAACGGAAUCCGCGCCGUCGCUAACGCAUUAAGUGCCCCGCC